AGAUUGGGUGGGACUGCACCCCAGAAGGCCUUGAGAGCAAUGGGUAGCAAUGAAAGAUUUGGAGCAAGGACCUCACAGGGCUGGAAUCAGAAACCUGGAGCCUCUUCUUUGGAGGAAGGUUUAUGUGGUGUUCCAUUGUACCAGAUGCACAAAAGCUGAGCAGCUUUGGUGGAGUGAGUGAGGGAGGCCUCGAUCACAUCUCUUGCUGGGCAUCUCCACAGAACCCAGGAGACGCAUCUGAAAACGCCAUCUCACUGCUGUGGUUCAGUGCCUCCCUUCUAUCAUUCAUCAGCAGCACCUUCAAUGGUGAUGAAGAAAAUGUUGAUUCCUGACUCUCUCGCAAGUCUCGAAGCCUCCUCCACUUUGUCCGUGGGCCAGCCAUCCACCAUCACCACCACCACGUUGGGAGCGCCGCUUCUGUUUCC